rnacentral:miRNA from 1 species
UCCCUGAGGUUGAUUACUCACU